rnacentral:ncRNA from 1 species
UCACCAUGUAAUCCCCGGAAUUGGCCGGGGAGUAUCCACCUCCGGACCUUAAUCUGGAUUCGCCAUGGAGA